AUUGAACGCUGGCGGCAUGCUUUACACAUGCAAGUCGAACGGUAACAGGCCUUCGGGUGCUGACGAGUGGCGAACGGGUGAGUAAUGCUUCGGAACGUGCCCCGUGGUGGGGGAUAACGCAGCGAAAGCUGUGCUAAUACCGCAUGUGAUCUGAGGUUGAAAGCGGGGGACUAGGAUGCAAUGAUUGGCCUCGCGCCUUUGGAGCGGCCGAUGUCGGAUUAGGUAGUUGGUGGGGUAAAGGCCUACCAAGCCGACGAUCUGUAGCUGGUCUGAGAGGAUGACCAGCCACACUGGGACUGAGACACGGCCCAGACUCCUACGGGAGGCAGCAGUAGGGAAUUUUGGGCAAUGGGCGCAAGCCUGAUCCAGCAAUGCCGCGUGCGGGAAGAAGGCCUUCGGGUUGUAAACCGCUUUUGUACGGAACGAAAAGGCUCGGGCUAAUACCUGGGGCUGAUGACGGUACCGUAAGAGUAAGCACCGGCUAACUACGUG
rnacentral:rRNA from 1 species